rfam:Schistosoma mattheei strain Denwood, Zambia genome assembly, scaffold: SMTD_scaffold0002825
AGUUUUUCGAAUCCGUGCUGAGAUUUCGUCAGACACCAACCCAUUAAGGCUGAUCACACUUCCAAGAUAAGUGAAGUU